rnacentral:rRNA from 1 species
CCUACGGUGGGCAGCAGUGGGGAAUAUUGGACAAUGGGGGCAACCCUGAUCCAGCCAUGCCGCGUGUGUGAAGAAGGCCCUCGGGUUGUAAAGCACUUUCAGUGAGGAAGAACGCCUGGUGGUUAAUACCCAUCAGGAAAGACAUCACUCACAGAAGAAGCACCGGCUAACUCCGUGCCAGCAGCCGCGGUAAUACGGAGGGUGCGAGCGUUAAUCGGAAUUACUGGGCGUAAAGCGCGCGUAGGUGGCUUGAUAAGCCGGUUGUGAAAGCCCCGGGCUCAACCUGGGAACGGCAUCCGGAACUGUCAAGCUAGAGUGCAGGAGAGGAAGGUAGAAUUCCCGGUGUAGCGGUGAAAUGCGUAGAGAUCGGGAGGAAUACCAGUGGCGAAGGCGGCCUUCUGGACUGACACUGACACUGAGGUGCGAAAGCGUGGGUAGCAAACAGGAUUAGAUACCCUGGUAGUC